rnacentral:rRNA from 1 species
GAUGAACGCUGGCGGCGUGCCUAAUACAUGCAAGUCGAGCGAACAGACGAGGAGCUUGCUCCUCUGACGUUAGCGGCGGACGGGUGGGUAACACGUGGAUAACCUACCUAUAAGACUGGGAUAACUUCGGGAAACCGGAGCUAAUACCGGAUAAUAUAUUGUACCGCAUGGUUCAAUAGUGAAAGACGGUUUUGCUGUCACUUAUAGAUGGAUCCGCGCCGCAUUAGCUAGUUGGUAAGGUAACGGCUUACCAAGGCAACGAUGCGUAGCCGACCUGAGAGGGUGAUCGGCCACACUGGAACUGAGACACGGUCCAGACUCCUACGGGAGGCAGCAGUAGGGAAUCUUCCGCAAUGGGCGAAAGCUUGACGGAGCAACGCCGCGUGAGUGAUGAAGGUCUUCGGAUCGUAAAACUCUGUUAUUAGGGAAGAACAAAUGUGUAAGUAACUAUGCACGUCUUGACGGUACCUAAUCAGAAAGCCACGGCUAACUACGU